GGCGGUGUGCCCGAGUGGCCAAUGGGAGCGGACUGUAAAUCCGUCGGCUUAGCCUACCCAGGUUCGAAUCCUGCGCCGCCA
rnacentral:tRNA from 1 species